rnacentral:lncRNA from 1 species
AUAAGCAGGUAGUUGCUUCCUUUUACUCUUGAAAUCAGCAGGAUAACCAAUGAUCCUGUAGCAGUCCUUACUCAAGUGAUUCCUGUAACCAUAAUGAUCACAUGCUACAUCUAAUAAUUUCUUCCCUUUGAAAUUUUGUCUUCUGUUGACUAGCAUGGUGAGAGGCUCCUUGUUAAUGUCCACCACACCUAGUAACCUCUGACUCUCUUCAUGCACUACUGUAGCAUAUGCUUGAUUGACAGUAGGCACCACAGUUUUAAGUAACAGAUCACUCCUCACUUGACUGUAUGACACAUUCAAGCCCAUUAGAAACAUCAAUAACCUCUGUUGACUUAGAUGUUCUAUGUAUGGUUUAGCUUCAUCACAACUACAUAGAGGUGAGGGAACUAACACAUCUAAUUCAUCCCAUAGAUCCCUCAAUUUCGAAAAAUAAACUGUAACAGAAUCAGUACCUUGUUUCAAGGAGGAUACCUCUGCCCAGAGUUG